GGAAUCAUGAUAGUAUAUUUAAAACCAAGUAUUUUUGGACUUUACUCAAGUUGUAUUUUACUGGGUGACUUUCACUUUCACUCAAGUAUGACAAUUGGGUAGUUUUUCCACCAGUGUGGAUAGUUGAAGCCUAUUAAUACAACAACUAGAGAAACAUCAAUCUGAUGAAAUUAUUUGUAUACAUCACAAUAGGUAUUUUUAUCAGACGAAUCAAGGCUGUACGUCCCAUGAACACAACUCUCUCCGCCCUCCUGAAGAUCGCAGUCAGCUGAUAAAGUGUUUUGAAGACAGAGGGUUUCCUGGUGAGCUCGCAACCCACAGCGGCAAACGAGAGGAGCGUCAUCACUCCCUUUAACUUCACUACACACGCGUGCAAAAAUGUGGACGGGGCUGAAAAACCAGACCAAAAUGAUGUUUAGCGAUGGAAACACCUCGGAGAGAGCUGUUCCAAUGCACACAUGGGUCUUCGCUACAUAUGAACAGCGCAAUGAGUCAACGGCCAUCCCUCGUCCCUCAUACACAGAAGACCCCCAGCCCAGAGGCAGUGGCAUCAUCCCAGGAGCCAUUGCAGCAGCAGUGUUCAUUGGUUUCGUACUGGGUCUCUAUGCAGUUCUGUGGAAGUGUAUGGUCUCACCACCCCAAAGGAAGAAGAGGAGGGUGAGGGUUAGAGACAAGAGGAGCCAAGUAUGCUGACUGACCAUCAGGAUCUCAUCUAGGCCAUCUGGCCAGAGGAUCCAAUGGAUUCAACUCAUGCAUCAAACCCCGGCCAGUCAAAUCCACUCAUACUGACUUGAGUCUCUCAUCAGGAUGUUCCUGAACAUCUGAGGGGAAAUUGAGAUUCAGAAACAUUUGCAUAGAGCUAGGGGAUGGCACAUUAUGGAUCUAGCAUAUCAUGGUCAGAGGAUGGACCGGUAUCUAAGGAUCCGGUCAAAUGGAUCUAAAAGGAUUUUCUAAAUUGCCUUAAGAGGAUCCACUCAAAUGGCUAAAGGAUCCAACUGAAGUGCAUCAGAGAGCAUGAACAAACAAUCUAAAUCAGUUAAGCUGGGGUCUGCAGACCCAUCAAAUGUAAAACAAAUUAUAUGUACAUUUAAAAAAAAAUUAUAAUAAUAAUCUAUUACUAACAGGUUAAACACAUUUUUGCAAGGGAUCUGUUGAAGUAGUUUAGAGUGUAAUACAAUAAAAUGUCAUAUUAUUAAUAUACAAUUUAUGUUCUUAAACCCUGGACAUAGUGGGCCUGGGAGGCUCACAGGGAUAUUGGCAUCUACAGUACUCCACCAAUUAUACAUUUUUCAGCUCAAUAACCCAAAGUGUGUGUGUGUGUGUGUGUGUGUGUGUUUUAAACUGAAGUUUUCUUUCUGCCUCAUGGGAAAAUGUGUAGAAUUGCAGAAUAUUUGCCCCAUGACAAAAUAUGUGGAAAUAUAGGAAAUGUCAAGAGGCUGGCCUUUUAAAAGGUUCCUUCCCAGGACCGAGCCUUGGUUCAUCCGGCCAUGCUCUGCCCAAGUCAUAGUAAAACACCUUGUAUGCUAUUUUUCUCACUCAAGUUGUUCUGAUUGAGGUCGUCCCUUAUAUAUUUGCUAUCACAAAAGGGGUCCCCGGGCCCCAAUAGUUUGAGAAAUCUAGGAUCCACUGUAUGCCACAGUGCUAUGCCUCCGUGAGAUGCUGACUUUAACUGAAGCGUAGCUACACUGUUAAGUGUACACUGUUGUGUCUGCGGGUCACUGACAGUUGACAGUGAACUCUCUGUACUACUGAGGAAGGAGGCAGCACAGGUCACUGUUCUUCCUAUCGGUCAACAAGCCUACUGGCCUGGCAAACAUGUGGGUAUGUUUUUUUUUUCUUCUCCGUUUGGGUGAAAGUGUGUGUGUGUGUGUGUGUGUGUGUGUGUGUGUGUAGCUUUUGAUUAGGGUUGACUACAUGUGUUGCAAAGGAAAGUGUCUAUGAAUGGGAAAUUUGCUAAUACUUUUUAUAUUGGGUUGUGCAUGUGAUAUGAUGGCUUUAGGUGAAUGAUUGAGCUGGAGUUUUUGUGUAUUUCAAAUUCUUUGAUUUGAGUGAAUGGUCUUAUGAUAUCCAUGUUUUGUCAUGUUACAUUUCCUCAGGAUGUGACUUACUGUUCCUUUUAUUAAACUGUGAUUUGUGUUCUUGCACUUUUACUGAGUUUUCCUUUUAUCAGAGUUAAAUCUGAAUUACUACUUAGUGUUGGGAUGAAUGUACAUUCACUGAUUAACAAACAAUGCAAAUUAUGUAACGGAAUACUAGGAAAGGAGAGGUUUUAAAAUGAAUCAGCUCUAUCAAAUACUAACACAUUGUGUUACUGGGAGGUCCUGAAGUCAUACAAAACUAGAUGAAUCUAAGGAAUUCAAGUCUUAAGUCCUUUGGGUUUUAUGUAAAUAAUAAACUUGUAAAAUGUUCAAACUGUCCUGUUGUAGUUUUAAUGGAGCGUGGCCCUCAACCACAAUGUCUAUAUUUGGUCUCUGCUGUGUUUAGCACAGUGGGUGCACGGUAUGAGAGGUUCCUGCAGGGCAGUGGGGGAUUCAUCGUGGUGUGGGG
ensembl:lncRNA